rnacentral:rRNA from 1 species
UACGGAGGGUGCAAGCGUUAUCCGGAUUCACUGGGUUUAAAGGGUGCGUAGGCGGCUAGGUAAGUCCGUGGUGAAAUCCUGCAGCUUAACUGCAGAACUGCCAUGGAUACUAUUUAUCUUGAAUGUCGUGGAGGUUAGCAGAAUAUGUCAUGUAGCGGUGAAAUGCUUAGAGAUGACAUAGAAUACCCAUUGCGAAGGCAGCUAACUACGCGAUAAUUGACGCUCAUGCACGAAAGCGUGGGGAUCAAACAGG